UGGGGAAUUUUGGACAAUGGGCGCAAGCCUGAUCCAGCAAUGCCGCGUGCAGGAUGAAGGCCUUCGGGUUGUAAACUGCUUUUGUACGGAGCGAAAAGGUCUGCCCUAAUACGGUGGGCUCAUGACGGUACCGUAAGAAUAAGCACCGGCUAACUACGUGCCAGCAGCCGCGGUAAUACGUAGGGUGCGAGCGUUAAUCGGAAUUACUGGGCGUAAAGCGUGCGCAGGCGGUUAUGCAAGACAGAGGUGAAAUCUCCGGGCUCAACCUGGGACCUGCAUUUGUGACUGUAUAGCUAGAGUACGGUAGAGGGGGAUGGAAUUCCGCGUGUAGCAGUGAAAUGCGUAGAUAUGCGGAGGAACACCGAUGGCGAAGGCAAUCCCCUGGACCUGUACUGACGCUCAUGCACGAAAGCGUGGGGAGCAAACA
rnacentral:rRNA from 1 species